rnacentral:rRNA from 1 species
UACGGAGGUGGCGAGCGUUGUCCGAAGUUACUGGGCGUAAAGCGCGCGUAGGCGGGGAACCAAGUCCGCUGUGAAAGCCUGAGGCUUAACCUCAGCGGGUCGGUGGAUACUGGUUCUCUUGAAGGUGCUAGGGGGAGAUGGAAUUACAGGUGUAGCGGUGAAAUGCGUAGAUAUCUGUAGGAACACCAGUGGCGAAGGCGGUCUCCUGGGGCAUUCUUGACGCUGAGGCGCGAAAGCUGGGGGAGCGAAC